AGUUCCCUGCUUGGUGCGUGACGGGCCCACUUAAACCCACAUUUCUUUUAAGGGAUGUUCGACUUCUCUGCGGGAUUGCAGACCUCCCGCCCCAGCCUCGACUGGCGGUGGACGCUGGGAGCAGUGAACGCAGCGAGCGGCAACCCACCUGCCUUCUUGUGCAGGUUAUAAUUGGGUUCGCACGGCCGAAGCGGGGAAUUU
rnacentral:other from 1 species